rnacentral:rRNA from 1 species
UACGGAGGGGGCUAGCGUUGUUCGGAAUUACUGGGCGUAAAGGGCGCGUAGGCGGUGCUGUAAGUCAGGCGUGAAAGGCCCGGGCUCAACCCGGGAAGUGCGCUUGAUACUGCGGCGCUUGGAGUCCGGGAGAGGAUGGUGGAAUUCCCAGUGUAGAGGUGAAAUUCGUAGAUAUUGGGAAGAACACCGGUGGCGAAGGCGGCCAUCUGGUCCGGUACUGACGCUGAGGCGCGAAAGCGUGGGGAGCAAACAGG